GUGCAAUUAUUCUUGGCCAAGAUAUAUAAGAGGCAAAAGUAGAGGAUGGAAUGGCUUUUGUAGUUUGGAUGGAUGGCACAUUGUGUUUGUGUUGUUUUCUUGUGGCAUAAUAUUUUCAUUAUGGAUCUUCUGCAUUUUUUGCUAGGAUAACUCAGUUGUGUUCCCCAUUUUGCUUUGAUAUGAUGGUCCUGUUUAUUGUAUUAUUCUCUCUGAUACCAACAUUCUAAGUUGAAAUAAAACUGCAUUUUCUUUUCUUA